rnacentral:rRNA from 1 species
UACGUAGGGUGCGAGCGUUAAUCGGAAUUACUGGGCGUAAAGCGUGCGCAGGCGGUUAUGUAAGACAGGUGUGAAAUCUCCGGGCUUAACUCGGAAAGGUCAACUGAUACUGUGCGACUAGAGUGCAGAAGGGGCAACUGGAAUUCUCGGUGUAGCGGUGAAAUGCGUAGAUAUCGAGAGGAACACCUGCGGCGAAGGCGGGUUGCUGGGCUGACACUGACGCUGAUGCGCGAAAGCCAGGGGAGCGAACGGG